UUACCUUUUAAUUUAAUUUUUUUUUCAAAAAAAUAAGAUCUAAUUGGAAAGGCCAUCUCUUCUUUCGACAAGUAGAUGGGGUGCCCCAGUCAGAUAAGACAGACUGAGUGAGCACCCCUUAUAAAAGAGGGCAAGAAGUUGGGGCACCAAUACUUAGCGCUCCCUUAGGAUUUUUAUGCAAGAGAGAAAGGGCAUGGCCCCUCUUUCUUUCUCCUUGCGUGCCAAUGCAAGAGAGGGAGUGGACCCCUCUCUCUUCCUCAUGCCAAUCUAGGGUUGGCACCCUUUGGACUUUUCAAAAAGAGAGGCAUGGCACCAUCUCUUCUUUCCUAUAAUUCCACACAUAAUAUUAAAAAAUAAAUGAAGAGAUAAUUUGUCUAACUCAUUGACUUAAUCCAAUCCUCUUGGGCUCACAAUUAGACAUCCAGCU
rnacentral:lncRNA from 1 species